GUCUCUGUAGCGCAAUGGAUAGCGAGUUGGACUUCUAAUUCAAAGGAUGUGGAUUUGAAUACCACAUGGGAUG